rnacentral:rRNA from 1 species
GUUUGAUCAUGGCUCAGGAUGAACGCUGGCGGCGUGCUUAACACAUGCAAGUCGAACGAAGCACUUAAGAAUGAUUCUUCGGAUGAAUUUUUUUGUGACUUAGUGGCGGACGGGUGAGUAACGCGUGGGUAACCUGCCUCACACAGGGGGAUAACAGUUGGAAACGACCGCUAAUACCGCAUAACCCGCUAGGGCCGCAUGGCCCGGACGGAAAAGAUUUAUCGGUGUGAGAUGGACCCGCGUUGGAUUAGCUAGUUGGCAGGGUAACGGCCUACCAAGGCGACGAUCCAUAGCCGGCCUGAGAGGGUGAACGGCCACAUUGGGACUGAGACACGGCCCAAACUCCUACGGGAGGCAGCAGUGGGGAAUAUUGCACAAUGGGGGAAACCCUGAUGCAGCGACGCCGCGUGAGUGAAGAAGUAUUUCGGUAUGUAAAGCUCUAUCAGCAGGGAAGAAAAUGACGGUACCUGACUAAGAAGCCCCGGCUAACUACGUGCCAGCAGCCGCGGUAAUACGUAGGGGGCAAGCGUUAUCCGGAUUUACUGGGUGUAAAGGGAGCGUAGACGGCUAAGCAAGUCAGAAGUGAAAGGCUGGGGCUCAACCCCGGGACUGCUUU